AGGUUAUCCAAGGACAUGGAAAAGCCAACACCAUGGUAGCAUUAAUGAAAGUUUACCAAGAGGAAGAUGAAGCCUACCAGGAAUUAGUUACCAUGGCAACCAUGUUUUUCCAGUACUUACUGCAGCCAUUUAGGGCUAUGCGAGAAGUUGCAACUUUAUAAUUCCUUGGAUGAGGAUGACGUAGGUCCUACGUCUCCAGGAUAGUUGCCCUGGAGAAAGAAGCUGAAGAAUGGACCAGACGGGCUGAAGAAGCUGUUGUCUCUAUUCAAGAUAUCACAGUGAAUUAUUUUAAUUAGACAGUAAAAGCAUUAGCAGGAAUGCAAAAAGAAAUGGAACAGGAUGUGAAGAGAUUUGGCCAGGCUGCCUGGGCCACAGCAAUUCCCAGGUUGGAAAAACUUAAGCUAAUGCUAGCUCAAGAGACUCUGCAACUCAUGAGAGCGAAAGAAUUGUAUUUAAAUCGCAAAAGAGCUGAAAUUCAGGGAAAG
rnacentral:lncRNA from 1 species